UCUUUUGCUAUUAUUUUGUGCUACUUUGGGGUUAGCCUCUUGUCCAAACUACGAGUUACUUAAAAUGCGGCGGUAAGCUCUCUGUUUCUGUUCUUCCGGCCAUUUUUAUGGUUGCACAGGGAGGUUUCUGUCUGGACUCCUGCCUCAGGCUUUACCUUGUGGGAGCUUCAGGUCUUUCAUCAGCACCGUAAUUGUGAGGUCACAGCAAGGUGACCCUGUGCCCCCCCCCCCGGCUUAGGCGUUCCGAAGUAACUCGCAACCCUCAAAGCCCCAGGCUGCUGCCACGGAUCCAUUUUUCCUCGUAAAAGUGGCUGUAAAAUAGUGUAGUGUAGCAUUUUGCCACACGUAUGUGUUAUGUUCCUCAAUUUCAACAAAAUUACAAACGUACAAAUCGCGUGUGUGUGUGUGUGUGUGUGUGUUUGUGUCCAUUGUAAAGGAGAGUAAGUUCUCACUGAUGGUCUGAGGGCAUUUUACAUACGAAUACGCAUGUGCGUGUCAGUGUCGUUAUUUCAAAAGAAAGUCAGCAGGACCCCUUCUGUGGGCAAAAGCCAAAAUCUAGCGGCGUCACAUCCUGUCCAUUUCCUUGGAAUCGCCAGGGCUGGAUGAGGCUCGGUGGGGAUCAGAGGCCAUGGAGUCCCCAAGCCCACCCUUACGUGUGUGUGAGAGCGCGGGGCCGGGGUGGCAGCUGGCCUGGUGACGGCCAGCAAGAGAGGCUGCCGGCCACAGACACCGUGACCGCCCCAGCACUCACUCCCGGCUGCCACGGCGGCGUGGCGACCUUGCCAGUGCUCCGCGCACGAGAGGAGGCUCGGUUCUGCUGUUUUGGUCACUUGCCUGGAAGCUUCUGCCCAGAACAUUUGUGUCCGAGGCCCUUUCAUCUCCCAGGCAUCCUGUACAAUUACCAUGCGGAGGGUCUGGAAUCCGUCCUGCUGCAGCUGGGUCACAGGACAAGGCAGACUGGGCCAGCCUGCUAAAAUAAAGACGUGAUUAUCUCC